CGCUGCGUCACGGGAGAGAGCCGCCGAUCGGAUUGGGGUGGCCGCCGAAGGAGCAACACCUCCUCGUCAAACUCUCAGGCACCCAGGACCGUGAUGUUGAC
rnacentral:ncRNA from 2 species